rnacentral:lncRNA from 1 species
UUGUCCCCUCGGAGGGAGGGCCCACGGGCGGGGACAUCGGGACUUGCCCUUUCCUCGGCGCAGCGGAGCUGGGGCGUCGCCGACUCAGAAGGUGCUUUCCGAGACCUCCAGGGAUCUCCGAGGCGAGGAAACCCGGGCCCCGGACAGACCGACCCUGGCUGAAGCUCAGGGCCCUGUCUGCUCUGUGGACUCAACAGUUUGUGGCAAGACAAGCUCAGAACUGAGAAGCU